ACCGGAUCCACGCCUCUUCGGUCCUGAGCCUGCAAGUCCGUGGCUGGCUCCCGGCUCUCAUGGAACCCUGACAUAGCAAGCCAUCCCCGCCCGGCGCGGUCAGCAUACAAUCUCGGCACAAAGAGGAGACAGCCCAAGGCACCACCCUCCUGGAAAUCAGGCCCAAGAACCUCAUUCUGAGACUCCACCCCCUGACCCUGAUCUCUGAUUCAUGUGACUUCCCCAGACCCAGGAUACCCAUGGAUGCUGGCCUUUGAGGAACCACUCUUAUAAGAAGAGAGGGACUGGGGAUAUAGCUCAGCUGGAAGAAUGCUUGCCUUGCAUGCACAAGGAAGGCCCUGGGUUUGAUCCCCAGCACCACAAAAAGAAAAAAAAAAAAAAAAAAAAGAGAUCCCUAGCACCACAAAAAGAAAAAAGAAAGAAAGAAAGAAAGAGAGAGGAGAGAAUAAAAAGCAAGGGAGAAAGUAGAAUAGCAGGGGGGCAGGCAGGUGGAAGAGGAAAAUCUUUGGAAAGAAUUCUAAAUGGGGUCAGAGGUCUUAGGUAGGGAUUUGGAAGCCUCACCUGUUUGAGGCCCAUGAGCUCAGCGUAGUCAAAGACGAGAAGAAUGCUGAAGAUGAGGAGCCAGGAAAUGACGUGGAGCACAAAGCAGAGGAGGGGCACCCAGGUGGCCCAUGGCUCUGCCCGAGCCUCCCACAACACUGGGCCUCUGGGUACAGGUUCCCAGUACCGCAUCACCAACUGGAGAAGGAUGAGGAACUAAGUAUCCCAGCAGCCAACCUGCCUACUUUUAAGAAACCCAGACCCAGAGCCUGUUCCCCUUUCCCACUUAUGAGGGUGCUGAGUAAGCUCCCAUGAAAGUGAGGAUGACCUGUAUCCACACUGAGGAUUUACAGAAUGGAUAGGGAUUUACAGAAUGGAUGGGGAUGACCUGAUAGGUGCCUGAUAGUACUAGGCACCCAAAGAGAAGAUAGGUAACUACUAAAUGAAAAGCAAGCUUUCUCUUGAAACCUAGGGAGGUGGUUUGAAAGAAAUGGUAGGACUGAAAAGGAAUUAAGGAGGGGAUUUCAAGCAGGAUAAUGUGAACAAAGUUGCAAAGGUGAGAAUGCACAUCUUGUGCUUAGGGAAUGAUAAGUACACCCUUCUUGAUAAAAAGUAGGAUAUGUGCCAUGAAGGAAUAGAAGCUAAGAUUAGCAUCCUCAGUUCUCUUCUCAAAAUCAUAGUUUGCCUCACCAGUCCAGGGGGUGCCUCCCACAGAUUGUCUCCCUUGGGGACUCAGCUGCCAUGUCCUCAUACCUGCAAGGCCAGAGCAGUGCAUGCCACAUACAGUGACCUCUGAAGGACCCCAAAGUACUGGGAUGUCCAUGCCUUCACUGUCUCAGUCGCCAUGAGGCUGUGCUGCCCAACAAAGAGUAGCAGGAGCCCCAGAUCCCAAGCCAGGGAGGCAAGUACACUGCGGUCCUUCAGGGCAGCCAGCCAUCCCUGGCGGGCAUCUGGAGGAGUUGAGGGAGAAAGGGACAAACAUCAAGAAGAUAAAUAGAAAAUCUCCCCUUACCCUCAUUUCCCAUUGGGGUCCCAGACCAUGUCCCUUAAUGGUUUCAAAGCGUUAAUGUUUUCCAUCUAGGCUGGCCCCUCUCACUUUACCAUCCCUUGUAUUUCCCCCUCUACCCUAGGCCUCCAUCAGACCUGGGAAAGAGAAUUCAUAGAAAAAUGCAUGUUGGAUUGUCACUAAAAGCAUGGCUGGAGAGGAUUCUCUGGAUCGCCCCUUUGUAACACUUCCCUCUCCGCAGUUUUCUCUACAAAAUACUUUUCUUAGAAUAUUGUCUAUA